GGGGGAGUAGCAGGUAUGGUAAGAGGGGGGAGUAGCAGGUAUGGUAAGAGGGGGGGAGUAGCAGGUAUGGUAAGAGGGGGGGAGUAGCAGGUAUGGUAAGAGGGGGGAGUAGCAGGUAUGGUAAGAGGGGGGAGUAGCAGGUAUGGUAAGAAGGGGGAGUAGCAGGUAUGGUAAGAGGGGGGAGUAGCAGGUAUGGUAAGAGGGGGGUGGGGGGGAAUGUCCAAUAGGACUCAUCUCAUACUUAGGCAAUUUCUGAGGUCUGAAAAAAGUAGAUUUUGGAGUGAGCCAUCAUUGUUUCUUUGUCAGGAAGACUUUGGGAGUUUGUGUGGACCAAGAUAGUUUGUGUGGACCCUGAAAGCGUGAUGAUACAGGGUGUCUGAGAUCGCAACGCUGUGCGUGGGCCUGGUGGGUCUGAUGGGAGGUGACAGCCUUCAUCAGAGAGAACAUCAUCGUCACGGAGACGCUCUGGGACGGCCUGUGGACGAACUGCUGUAGACAAGCCAACAUUAGAUGCAGUGUAAGGUGUACGACUCCCUGCUGUUCCUCCCUGUGGACCUGCAGGUAUGGUUACAGUAUGAUUAUGUCCCAAAUGGCACCCUAUUCUCUAUAUAAUGCACUACUUUUG
rnacentral:lncRNA from 1 species